UACGAAGGGGGCGAGCGUUGUUCGGAUUUACUGGGCGUAAAGGGCGCGCAGGCGGUUCUGUUUGUCGAGUGUGAAAGCCCCGGGCUCAACCUGGGAACUGCGCUCGAAACGGCGGAACUAGAGUUCGGGAGAGGAGAGUGGAAUUCCCAGUGUAGAGGUGAAAUUCGUAGAUAUUGGGAAGAACACCGGUGGAGAAGGCGGCUCUCUGGACCGAUACUGACGCUGAGGCGCGAAAGCGUGGGGAGCAAACAGG
rnacentral:rRNA from 1 species